rnacentral:rRNA from 1 species
GAUGAACGCUGGCGGCGUGCCUAAUACAUGCAAGUCGAGCGAACAGACGAGGAGCUUGCUCCUCUGACGUUAGCGGCGGACGGGUGAGUAACACGUGGAUAACCUACCUAUAAGACUGGGAUAACUUCGGGAAACCGGAGCUAAUACCGGAUAAUAUAUUGAACCGCAUGGUUCAAUAGUGAAAGACGGUUUUGCUGUCACUUAUAGAUGGAUCCGCGCCGCAUUAGCUAGUUGGUAAGGUAACGGCUUACCAAGGCAACGAUGCGUAGCCGACCUGAGAGGGUGAUCGACCACACUGGAACUGAGACACGGUCCAGACUCAUACGGGAGGCAGCAGUAGGGAAUCUUCCGCAAUGGGCGAAAGCCUGACGGAGCAACGCCGCGUGAGUGAUGAAGGUCUACGGAUCGUAAAACUCUGUUAUUAGGGAAGAACAAAUGUGUAAGUAACUAUGCACGUCUUGACGGUACCUAAUCAGAAAGACACGGAUAACUACGUG